GCGGGAAGAAGCUUCAAAUUUGAAAUCUGGUGGCCUCAGGUCAUCCGAGUUGUAAUCUAUAGAAGUGUUUUCCGUGCUGGCUCAUGUACAAGUCCCUUGGAACAGGGCGUCAUAGAGGGUGAGAAUCCCGUCCUUGACAUGAACUACCAGUGCUCUGUGAUACAUUUUCAACGAGUCGAGUUGUUUGGGAAUGCAGCUCAAAAUGGGUGGUAAAUUCCAUCUAAAGCUAAAUAUUGGCGAGAGACCGAUAGCGAACAAGUACCGUGAGGGAAAGAUGAAAAGCACUUUGGAAAGAGAGUUAAACAGUAUGUGAAAUUGUUAAAAGGGAAACGAUUGAAGUCAGUCGUGCUCUUUGGAUUCAGCCGGUUCUGCCGGUGUACUUCCUUUGAGUGGGGUCAACAUCAGUUUUGAUCGCUGGAUAAAGGCUGGAGGAACGUAGCACCCUCGGGUGAACUUAUAGCCUCCUGUCACAUACAGUGGUUGGGACUGAGGAACGCAGCACGCCUUUAUGGCCGGGAUUCGUCCACGUACGUGCUUAGGAUGUUGACAUAAUGGCUUUAAACGACCCGUCUUG
rnacentral:rRNA from 1 species